rnacentral:rRNA from 1 species
GUUGAACGCUGACAGCAUGCUUAACACAUGCAAGUCAACCUGUGGCGGACGGGUGAGUAACGCGUAAAGAACGUGAUCCACCGCUAGGGACAGCAUUUAGACAUGAAUGCUAAUAUCUGACACUGUGGGAGAGCAUUGCGUCCCAUUAGCUAGUGGGAGAGGUAACAGAUCACACAUGCGAUGAUGGGUAGCCGGCCUGGGAGGGUGAACGGCCACAAGGGGACUGAGACACGGCCCUUACUCCUACGGGAGGCAGCAGUGGUGAAUAUUGGACAAGGGACCGAAGUCUGAUCCAGCAAUUCUGUGUGCACGAUGAAGUUUUCGGGAUGUAAAGUGCUUUCAGUUGGGAAGCGGUACCAACAGAAGAAGUAACGGCUAAAUACGUGCCAGCAGCCGCGGUAAUUC